rnacentral:lncRNA from 1 species
CGGGACAACUCUGAGCAAUUCUUAUAUUAAUCAAGAAAAAUGGUACAAUGAUCUUCUCAUAUUACAGACUUGAAUUUGAGGAAUCUAUUAUACUAUAUUCAAGCAAAAAAUUCCCCUAAGAAAAUGCAUAAGCACUAUGUACACAAACAAUUGAGAUAACACACAAAUACCUCCCCACUUAAAUCCCUCUAUAAUGCUAUUAUACUUCUUCGCUCCUAAUUCAUUUCCCGGAAGAUCGAAAUUCGUAGUCACAUGGUUGAAGAAGAGAUUAGAACCAACCUUCUUUCUAAGAAAUGGAAAAAGGUAUGUUCUUAUCUUUCCAUUUUGAAAUUCGAUUUACCUCAUUCCAGAUGGAGUGAGGGUUGCAACCUGCAACAGUUCAAAGAAAUUGUAUUCAUAUAAUUUCCCACCAUGAUGAAAAAAGUAUAAAUAUUAAUAUGAGAUUAUUGCUUCAAACCAUAACAAGAUUAUUUUUGCUACAAAUUAUCAUAAUUUCUAUUUAUGAAAUAAAAUUAAGAUGAAAGCGAAACUUACCAUUCCGGCAUAGGACUAGGGAUUCUGGGGAAGUGGCUAAAGGGAUCAGACCUGUGACCUUAUCAUGCUUAUAGAACCAAAACAUAACAGCUUGCAAGAUGAUGAUUGCAGAAUGUUCAUAUUGCCUGCAUGGCUUUUUGGGGAUUGAUAUACCCCAUAGGCUGAGUAGCAAAAGGAGGAAUCCGUCCAAGAAGAGGCUUGCAUCUGCUUAGCUAGUUGGUGAGACAAUAGCUUACCAAGGCGAUGAUCAUGGUUGGUCCUAGAGGAUGGCCAGCCAAACUGGAAUUGAGACAUGGCCCAGACUCUUACGGGAGGCAGCAGUGGGGAAUUUUCCGCAAUAGGCUAUAUAUGUAUAUGAAGAAGAAAUCAAUGACUAUUGACUCUGAUGACAGGCAAGGAAACUGAUUAUAAAU